GGACUACCUGGUGAACUUAAGCCUAUCAAUAAGCCGAGGGAAA
rnacentral:rRNA from 1 species